rnacentral:lncRNA from 1 species
AUUCACUCAAGGUGAAUCCUUGGGUUGAGACCACACGUCCCCCCACGCCAGCUAGCCAUGGAGGUGGACGGCGGGCUCCACCAUGUGCUGCAUGUGGCUGGCCGGCCCCCCACUCCCCUGCACAUAUCCGGACAGGAGCGGACAGGGCCCUGGCAGCUCCUGGCCUUGUCUGAUCAAUCCCUCUUGUAGCACUUGGGGACACUGAGGCCAGAAGGGGUCGGCCCUGCAUAAGGACACAGGGCUGCGGUGGGACCCUGGGACGUGGGUGGAAGGAAGGAGCCUCCCCACCGCUGGCUGAGGUCCUGUCCUGUCAGCUGCUGAGGCGGGGGCUCCUGGCAGGGCGCACAGCAGGUGACACCCUGGGUGACAGCUCUGUGGGGGAGGCCUCGAGCCCCAGGUUGUGUGCCCAUGUGACUGUGUGGUCAUCACGGCACCCCAGCACCCAGCCAUUUGCCUAAUGUAGGAACAAUCCGGAAGACUGAUGGCUGGCCCAGAGGGGAGGAGGCUCGCUGCCUCCUGGGUCUGGGUCUGGGUCUGGGCUACGCUCUGUGAGGGGCCAGGCUUUCGAUGCAGGUUGUGGGGGGUGGGGGGUCCCAUACCCCAGUCUCACUGGAGACCGUCCAGCCUGAGCUGACCUCUGCUCCGGCCACACCCCCUGGCCUGGGUACGGGGUUGGGAAGUGUGUUGACAAUCUGGAGGUAGAGACCGUGGCCAGCCCUCCCCCAAGACCCGCUCUCAGCACAGUGCCCCAGAUUCAGCUUCUGGAAAUACACUCGCAAUUAAAUCGAAAAGCCCAGGGAGCUGCCUUGGAGAGGAAAGUGGCGGUUACACAACACCUCAUUACUGCGGCUCCCAGCGGCCUGGCAGAGCCAGGGGCCUGGAAGACACAUGUGCCCCUGGCACCAGGCUCCGGGCCUGGUCACAGCCUCCCAGGACUCCUCAUUGCUGGGCCUGUGCUGCCCUGAGGACAGAGAGUCUCUGUCACCAUGAUGCUCACGCCCUGGCUGGGAAAUGACAACAAACUCUGAACAGGCCCAGCUGAGGAGAGGACAUUUGGAUAAGAUCUGAUUGUACACAGGAGGCCCCAGCAGGAGGAUCUGGGGAGACUGUUCUGGUCAGAGGACAGAGAAAAUGCCAGGGCACAGUCUGGACCAGAAAUCAAGACAGAGUCGGAGUGGCCUGAGGCGAAGGCAAGGGCUGCCCCUGGGGAGCGAGGAGCUGCCUGGAGACAAAGCUGGCAGCCAGGGGUCUCGUGGUCUGGUACUUUGAGCAGGCCUUGAUGAAGUGGUGUCUCCAAGGUGUGGGCCGGGUUUAAAGGAAGCCAGGAGGACCGAGCGUUCCCCAGGAGGCGUGGAGCUGGAGCAUCUGGCCUGAAGCAGCACAGAGAGCGCAGAG